rnacentral:rRNA from 1 species
CCUACGGGGGGCAGCAGUGAGGAAUAUUGGUCAAUGGGCGUAAGCCUGAACCAGCCAAGUCGCGUGAGGGAUGAAGGUUCUAUGGAUCGUAAACCUCUUUUAUAAGGGAAUAAAGUGUGGGACGUGUCCUGUUUUGUAUGUACCUUAUGAAUAAGGAUCGGCUAACUCCGUGCCAGCAGCCGCGGUAAUACGGAGGAUCCGAGCGUUAUCCGGAUUUAUUGGGUUUAAAGGGUGCGUGGGCGGCCUUUUAAGUCAGCGGUGAAAGUCUGUGGCUCAACCAUAGAAUUGCCGUUGAAACUGGGAGGCUUGAGUAUGUUUGAGGCAGGCGGAAUGCGUGGUGUAGCGGUGAAAUGCUUAGAUAUCACGCAGAACCCCGAUUGCGAAGGCAGCCUGCCAGGCCAUGACUGACGCUGAUGCACGAAAGCGUGGGGAUCAAACAGGAUUAGAUACCCCAGUAGUC